GCACAGUGGGUGGAAGGAAGCCUGGGAGCUGCCUCCACGCCAGGACGAUAAGCUCUCACUGAAACUGAUGUAGAAGUGACCAAAACACAUAGAUGUUUCCCCACUAAACUCAGACCAAAUGUGUCUCCCACCUAACUUCCUCUUAGCUGAAUCCCCAAGUGCCCACAGCCACCUCGAUGCUACCUAACACAGCGGCAUCUUAAACAGUGCAAUUAAGAUGUCUUACUUUCAAAAUAUAUGUAUCUUACUUUUGCAAGCACAUUGCUGAGGCCUCUCCCAGGGCCCCAGAAGCGAGUGACUUCUGCAAGCAAGGAGCUUUCCCUUCAGGGUGAUUCUGUCCCUGCCUAGAGGGCACAGGCCGUGAAGGUGAGGGGUUGUAGCAAUGGUUGAGACAGCUACAAAGUUGACGAUCGUGUAGUGCCUACCAGGGGAAAUGUUACUUGUGUCUUCAGUCAUUUAAUCCUCUUAACGACCCCAAGAUGUUGGUACUAAGAAAAUCUUCAUUUUUACAGAUAGGGAGACUGAGUCAUAGAGAGGCUAGGCCACUUGCCCGGGGUCACGCAGGUAGUUAGCGCCGGACGGGGGAUUGGAACCCAGGCAGUCUGGCUCACCCUCGCACCUAGUACAGGAAGUAGUCUCUCCACAGUGUAGCCCACAGUUUCCACUGCCUCCCCAGGAUGCUGCCGUCCCACCUGUAACUUUCUGACAGUAUAUAUUUUACUUAUUUGUCUAUUUUCUGUCCCUUGUUACUAAAAUACUGACUCUCUGAGAACAAAGCUGUUUAUUUGGCUCACCGCUGUAUCCCUGUACCUGGAGAAGAGCUCAGCAUGCAAUAGCUAUGUAGGCCAUGAUUUGCUCAGCAUAUCUCUUCCUAAAUUCCAAGACAGGCUUCUUGCUCUGUUCAGUCAAGACUGCCAACCCAGGAAACAUUUUCGAAAGAUCACAGUCAACGUCAUUGCCAAAAGAAGAAGUUCUUGGCACGCAAAGAACCGGGUUCAAUAUGAGAUGCCAGAUGGUGAUUUCAACUUCAGCUGAAUUCCUGCUGGAAAAAACUGUUUGAACUGCAGAUGAGAAAAGAUGCUAUGACAAAUUUCCAAGUGUUAGGAACUUCAGAGGGAAAUGGCAAGUGUUGAUACACCCCCCCCCACCCACACCCCAUCCCUCCAGCCACACGCACACAUACCAUAGAACUACUUACUACCUGCAUCUGGUAGUUAAGAUUCCCACAAAGAUGCCUCUGUUUUUUAAGAAGAUUAAGCCAUGUCUUGAUUUUUACUGAUAUUAAAGUAUAUUAACUGAGUCCAUUGAAAGCAAA